GACGAACGCUGGCGGCGUGCUUAACACAUGCAAGUCGAACGGUGAAGGAGGGCGCUUGCUGCGUCCGGAUGAGUGGAGAACGGGUGUGAAACACGUGUGACCUCUGCUUCGCACUGUGGGAUCAGCGUUGAACACGACGUCUUAUAGCGGAUAAGCUGCGGGUGCGUGUUGUGUGCGCGUGGAAAGCAGUGGGGUUCGGGGUGAGCGCGCGGCCUAUCCGCUUGUUGGUGAGGUUACGGCUCACCAGGGCGGCGACGGGUAGCCGGCCUGAGAGGGUGACCGGCCACACGGGGACUGGGACACGGCCCAGACUCCUACGGGAGGCAGCAGUGGGGAAUAUGGCACAAUGGGCGCAAGCCUGAGGCAGCAACGCCGCGUGGGGGACGACGGCCUUCGGGUGGUAAACCUCUUUGAGCAGGAAAGAGGCUAAGGUGACGGUACCUGCAGAGAAAGCACCGGCUAACUACGU
rnacentral:rRNA from 1 species